rnacentral:lncRNA from 1 species
UGGUCACGGGUGAGGGUAGCAGAGAAAGUCUAAAGCCAAAGGGAAGUCUCUGUUGAAUCGGUAGAGAGUGAAUAAAGAGAGUUGAUAGUAGUCCCCACACUGGUCAGGAGUUCCCUAUGGAAGUAACCAUUGGAUGGUGAUCAAGGGAUUCAAAAUGGCUUCCUCUCCCCAAAACCUGCAUGGGCCAAUUAAGAAGGAAAAAGAGCCCUC